AGUAUCUGUGCAGAAGAUGAGUUGCUCACUCAGAGAAGACCUGAUAUUCAAGGAAAAGUCAGCCAAAAACCAGCUACCAGGAGGCAGCCUGAACGUGUCAGGGCCUGGGCACGACACUUGCCUUUCUUGGAGGAGUGAUUUGAAGCCAUAGUGGAAGACUGAGCCUCUAUAAAAAAUGAACGAGGACACUCUUAAUGGACAGAUACAAAACAAGCCCCAGGAGAAAGGUGUAUCAACCAUUUUAAAUCUGCCCUCAAAAGCACAGAACAAAUCAGACAGCAUUUUGCUCACAGAGGAGAGGGUGUAUGAGAACCAAAUUCCAGCUUCAGCACAUGGCCUUGGGUACAGCUACAAGAUGGAGGAAGCUAUUUGACCUGCAUCAGACUUUACGUGAACAAAAGGGUGUUGUUAUGUCCAAAGCCAUCUUGCCAUGCGCAGCCUGAGAAUGGAGCCAAUGACUGAGGGUGGCAGAGCAGAAAGAUGAGAUAAAUGGUACGAGGCUGAUAUGGGAGCAUCCAUCACUGACUACCAGGUUGCUACUCCCAGCUCCUGUCUUCACAUCUGCAUACCAACCAGUAAGAAGAGGAGAAGGAGCAAGGAGAGCACAUAACUUUCCUUUUAAGGACACAACUAGAUGCCAUGUUGUGAGCUGCUCUGUGGAGGGGGACCUGUGGCGAGGAACUGAGGGCAGCCAGCAGGCAACAGCCAGCUGCCAUGUUGUGAGUAGCCCUAUGGAGGGGCCCACAUGGCAAGGAACUGACAUCUUUGGUCAACAGUCAGUGAGGACUUAAGGCUGCCAAUAGCCACAUGAGGGAGCUUGGAAGCAGAUCUUCCCCCAGUGGAGCCUUGAGAUGACUGCAGUCUGGCUGACACCUUGAUUGUUGCCUUCUGGGAGACCUUGAGGUGGGGGACCCAGCUAAGCUGCCCAGCUUCCUGACCGGCAGAAACUGGGAGACAAUAAAUGUUGGUGUUUUAAGCCACUACAUUUUGGGAUAAUUUGUUACACAGCAAUAGAUAACUAGUACAGAAGUGCUAAAGAUCAAACACCCCUCUCCCUCUCUCUCCACGGUCUCCCUCUGAUGCCGAGCCGAGGCUGGACUGUACUGCUGCCAUCUCGGCUCACUGCAACCUCCCUGUCUGAUUCUCCUGCCUCAGCCUGCCGAGUGCCUGGGAUUGCAGGUGCGCACCGCCACGCGUGACUUGUUUUCGUAUUUUUUUGGUGGAGACGGGGUUUCGCUGUGUUGGCCGGGCUGGUCUCCAGCUCCUAACCGCGAGUGAUCUGCCAGCCUCGGCCUCCCGAGGUGCCAGAAUUGCAGACGGAGUCUCGCUCACUCAGUGCUCAAUGUUGCCCAGGCUGGAGUGCAGUGGCGGGAUCUCGGCUCACUACAACCUCCACCUCCCAGCCGCCUGCCUUGGCCUCCCAGAGUGCAGAGAUUGCAGCCUCUGCCCGGCCGCCACCCCGUCUGGGAAGUGAGGAGCGUCUAUGCCUGGCCGCCCAUCGUCUGAGAUGUGGGGAGCGCCUCUGCUCCGCCGCCCCGUCUGGGAUGUGAGGAGUGCCUCUGCCCGGCCGCGACCCCAUCUGGGAGAUCUCAACUGUUGAGAGGAAACCAUACUGUCUGUCAUUAGCAAUUUUGCAAAAACAGCCUGUGAAUGCAUAUUAGCAUCACCUGAUUACUGAGCGCCCAGAGGCUCCGUCUCUCUGUACCCGGAUACAACACAGGAGGGAAAUGAUGUGGUUCCUGUCCUCAGAAACUCCUGGUCAAAGAAGGUUCCUGUGUCAGGAAGAAAAAACGCCAUUAGUAGAAUUUCUGAGCUGGAAAUGAGCAGGCUAGAGGUGGAGAGGAGCUGCAGCUACAGUCUGCACUAGAACCACCCCGUUGCCCCAUCUGGUUUCCAUGGAGUCAGACUUCUGAUGAGGAAGCUGGUCCUCCGGAAUGUGCAGAACGCAAGACACCCAGGCAAAGUGUCUUUAAGGGUAGGGACUGUUCAUUAUGGCUAUGGGAUGACCACAGAUUUCUUUCGUGUUAUCUGUUAGAAUGCUUUUGAUUGCUAGUAGC